CAUAAAUACAUUAUAUAUAUACAGAUAUAUAUUUAUACAUAUUUGCAUGUAUAUAUAUAUACAUAUAUAUAUAUGUGAAUGUGGAUAUGUAAAUGUGUUAGCUUUUGCAUCUUGUAUGUAUAUAUGUAUAUAUAAAAGUAUGUAUGUGUGGAUGUAUGUAUAUGUGCAUAUAUAUAUGUUUGUAUGUAUAGCCCAGUUAAUUUUUUUUAAAGUGUUGUGCGAAAUUAUAGUACAAUAUUUUGACAUUAAUCUGUAGGAGAUAGAUAACAGUAAAGAUUAUUUCAGAUUACAUGAAUAAAAAUAAAAUUUCAAUAAAUUUUGUAAUAAAUCCUCAGAAGUCUGAAAACCUAUAUGAACUGUAUAUGGGGAAGAUAACAGGAAAUUUUAUAUGAAAACUAAAAUUGUUAGAAAUAUGUUAUAUAACCAAAUUGAUUUUGAUCAGGAACCUUGGAAAUUUUUAAUUAAUCUGUAUUUAGUUUUAUGUAAGUAUAAAUAUGAAGGUUAGACAGUAUUUCAUAUAUAUCUAUAUACAAAUUGGAUAUACUUGAAAAAGAAAAACAAAAAGCAUUGCUCCAGCAUGUCUAUAGUUUUCAUCACACAAACAAGAGUAAAUAACUGAAGGAGAUAUUUGCAUUUGUAUAUAUUUGACCUUAAUUUAUAAAGAGUUAUCAAGUCCUGAGUACAUAUUAAUUAACAAAUAUUCAUUUAUCAAAGGGAGGUAAUGAAUUAAUAAAUUAUCUAUCUAUCUUUCUAUGCAUGCAUAUAUAUAUAUAUAUAUAUAUAUAUAUAUAUAUAUACACACAUAUAUAGAAGGUUUCUUGCUGAGAGAAAGAUUAGUAUGUCUUCAACCAGAAUUCCAUCAAUUUAACUGAAAAGUAUGUGCUUUAUAGUUUGGAAUCUCAUUGAAAACAAGAUGCUCAUUUUUGUCAGCAUGAAACCUCUGGUAUCAGACAAGCAGCAAAAAUCAGAAAUUUUAUUUAAAGGAACCUUUCAUCAACAUUUCUGGUGUUGAAUAAUUAGUCUUCUAGUUCAUUACUAAAGUGUGUAUAUGAGCAUGAGCACGUGUGUGUACAUGUGAGUGCAUGCAUAUAUAUAUAUAUAUAUAUAUAUAUAUAUAUAUAUAUGCAUGUGUAAAUGCAUAUAUAUUUGUAUAUAUGCAUGUGAGUUUAUAUAUUUGCACAUUUAUCUAUUAUAUACAUGUAUAAACAAAUAUAUAUAUAUGCAUAUAUAUUCACACACAUGCAUGCACACACGUUUCCUUCAGACUGAAUUCAAAAUGGCUGUGACUGAAGUUUCUCACUGGCAGAGGCUUCACAGACUCUGCAUGCAAAUAUAUAUAUAUAUAUAUAUACACAUAUAUAAAUAUAUAUAUAUAAAUACACACACACUCACACACAUAUAUAUAUACAUAUAUAUAUAUAUGUGUAUAUAUAUAUACAUACACAUAUAUAUAUAUGUAUAUAUAUGUAUGUAUAUAUAUAUACAUAUAGAUAUAUAUAUGUAUAUAUAAAUAUAUAUAUAUAUAUGUAUAUAUACAUACAUAUAUGCAUAUAUAUACAUAUAUAUAUGCAUAUAUACAUAUAUAUAUGUAUAUACAUAUAUAUACACACAUAUGCAUAUUUAUAUAUACAUACACACAGACAUAUAUAUAUAUGCAUAUAUAAGUAUAUACCUAUAACCCUCACCAUGUCAAUUUCCAUGCUUGUAUGGGUUGGGCGGAAUAUCUUGAGGCAGAUUUUCUAUGGCUGGAUGCUCUUCCUGUCACCAACCCCCACCUGUUUCCAAGUAAAGAAUAUAUAUACUUAUAUAUAUAUAUAUAUAUAUAUAUAUAUAUAUAUAUAUAUAUAUACAUAUACAUACAUAUGUAUGUGUGCAUAUGUGUAAAUAUAUAUAAAUGUUUGUUUUUAUGCCAUGUUAUAUACGAAAACAAUUUAACAUUAAUCAGAAGGAUUACUCCAUACUUUUUACUUCUCUACAUAUUUCUUGACUGUGACUCCCAAAUAUAAGCUUACUUGCCAUACUGAUGAAGUUGAACAAGCCAAAACUUUGUCAUCACUAUCAACGUUUACCUUCUAAAAGUUAAUAUAUAUAUAUAUAUAUAUAUAUAUAUAUAUAUAUAUGUGUGUGUGUGUGUGUGUGUGUAUGUAUGUAUCUAUGUAUAUAUAUAAUGCAAAUUUACCUCAAAAAUAACAAGCUGAAACAGCUAUAAAUGCUAUUUUAACUACAAUUAAACUAUGACCAUUUAAUACCAAUGAUCAACUUCUAAUUGUUAAUUGUUGCUCCAUUUCUUUUCUUAUUUGAAGAUAUAUAUUAUAUAUAUAUAUAUAUAUAUAUAUAUAUAUAUAUAUAUAUAUAUAUAUUAUACAUAUAUACAUGUUUGCUAAUGUCUAUAUUUAUACAACUUUGUCUAAAAUAUAUUGAGAAGGUACUGGUUGCUGUGCUAAACAAACUCACAAUCAUCCAAUCAUUAUAUGAAUUUAGUUAACGGAGAACAAAUAUGCCUGUAUUGGUGUUGUUUAGAACAACACAGAUAUAUGGCUGCAUUUUGCAUGAUUCAUUUUGCAGUGUAAGUUCCUUUCCUUAUUACUAUAUAUGUGUGCAAAACAGUAUUUUUUCAGGGUGGCAAUUUUUUUCUUAUUGUCUUAGUGAGGUUCUCAACUUUGCCUUGCUGCUAACUUUGAUUUCACAUUCACAAUGUUGGAAAUUUAUGUCAAUUACUUUCAUGGAUAUACACAUACACACAUAUUUAUAUAUGUAUAUGUAUGUAUAUAUAU
rnacentral:lncRNA from 1 species